UACGUAGGGGGCGAGCGUUAUCCGGAAUCAUUGGGCGUAAAGCGCGUGUAGGCGGUUCCGUAAGUCCGCUCUGAAAGCCCAGGGCUCAACCCUGGGAGGCGGGUGGAUACUACGGAACUGGAGUACGGAAGAGGAGAUUGGAAUUCCUGGUGUAGCGGUGAAAUGCGCAGAUAUCAGGAGGAACACCAACAGCGAAGGCAGAUCUCUGGGACGUUACUGACGCUGAGACGCGAAAGCGUGGGGAGCAAACAGG
rnacentral:rRNA from 1 species